rnacentral:lncRNA from 1 species
GCUUGUUUGGGAGAGAUUUUUCAAGUGGAAAGAUAAUUUUUAUAAGGAAUUAGAUAUCAUGAGUCCCCUAAAAUAUGUGAUUAAAGAUACUUUUGAGAAAUAAUUUCCCAAACAAGCGCUAAAGUAUUGCUCGAUACUUGUAAUCUUGCUUGACUUCUCAAUGUAUCUUAAUUAAGCAUAUAUAGUUUUACUAUUGUUUUACACAAUUAAAAUUGAGAAGAGAAGGAAAAAAAGAAUUUUUUUUUAAAGAAUAGACAAAAUAAUAGCUUAUAUGGGUGAAAGAUGUGAAAUGCAUAAUCUUUACUGUGUACUAUUAUUCUAUGCUUCUAAUUUACUGAAAAUUCAGUAGGAAGUUUUCUAAAGUGAUUGUACGAAAUUAAGUUCGUCCAAGAUAUUCCCUUUUUAUAACAAGUAUAAAUACAAGAAAUUGUAUCACAAUUAACAAAAAUCUUUUUACUACAUUAUAUUUCCCAAGACUCUUGAAAAUACAAGUUUGCUGCUUAUCAUCCCUGGAAUCAAAAGGUACCCCCACUUUGCCCCACCUCACUUGAGGGAUUUUCAUUAAAUAUUGUUCUUACUUGCUACAUUUUUCUCUACCUUAUAUAUUGUUUCAAAUUAUGCCUAAUUGUUAAUGUAGACACAUUUUACAACUAAUCUCUAUUGCAUAUUAUCUAAUCUUUUGUUGCAUUUUAAUAAAGUUUUCCAAAUUUCUCGUCAGGUUCUAAAUCCAAUUUGGUUAUUGUAAUCUCAUAAAUGCAACAAUUCUUCACCAAAACUCUAAUUUAUUUGGAUAAUUGAAUUCUUCAAUACAAAAGAUAACCUACAUAAUAGCCCACUGGUAGUUGGGAUGAUGAAUAUUGGUGACGGCAUUGCAAAUUCAUUUGCCAUCCAAAUAUUAAUACGUGUAUCAAUUUCUUGUAAAAGUGUAUCAUAUCAUGUUAGACCCUUUUUGUUGGAAUAACCCUAGCUUUCGAAUUAAAUAUUACUUGGUUCCUAGUCUAGAAUGCUUACGAAGUUGCCAGACCUGUCCUCAUUCUAGUAGUAAAUAUUCAUUUAUGUAUUUUUUUUUUGUCUCAUUUGAUAAAAAAAAUAAACAGAUUUUGAUAAAAGUUAUGAAAUGUGUAGUUGAAAAGUUGAUAAACAUUGUGGAUCACAUGAAAUAUGCGUUUAAAAUUAAAUGUUGACUAGUUUAUAAAAUUUUAUCAAACAAGCUGCUAAUAAUAUGUGCUGACUCAAAUUCAUGCCACGUCCAAGGGAUGACAAUAGUUGGAGCCACAGAAGAUAAUCAAAGUGUUGAAAUCCCUCAAAUUUGCACAAAAUCACAAGAAUCAAGCGACAACAUUACCGAUGUUGAAGUUGAGUGGUUGAUUUCUAUAGAGAACUAUGUUGACACAACAGAGAAAC